CCUACGGGAGGCAGCAGUGGGGAAUAUUGCGCAAUGGGCGAAAGCCUGACGCAGCGACGCCGCGUGAGGGAUGAAGGUCUUCGGAUCGUAAACCUCUGUCAGCAGGGACGAACGGUCACUGUGCUAAUCAGCAGUGAAUCGACGGUACCUGCAAAGGAAGCACCGGCUAACUCCGUGCCAGCAGCCGCGGUAAUACGGAGGGUGCGAGCGUUAAUCGGAAUUACUGGGCGUAAAGCGCUCGUAGGCGGUAUGUCAAGUCAAGGGUGAAAUCCGCGAGCUCAACGUGGGAACUGCCUUUGAAACUGGCGAGCUGGAGUGUGUUAGAGGAUAGUGGAAUUCCAGGUGUAGGAGUGAAAUGCGUAGAUAUCUGGAGGAACAUCAGUGGCGAAGGCGACUAUCUGGCACAUAACUGACGCUGAGGAGCGAAAGCGUGGGUAGCAAACAGGAUUAGAUACCCGUGUAGUC
rnacentral:rRNA from 1 species